AGGGCAGACGGUGGAUGCCUUGGCUCUCGGAGGCGAUGAAGGACGUGAUAAGCUGCGAUAAGCUUGGGGUAGGUGCAAAUAACCUUUGAUCCCAAGAUUUCCGAAUGGGGCAACCCGGCUGGUAGAAGGCCAGUCAUUCCGUAAGGAAGGCGAACGUGGGGAACUGAAACAUCUAAGUACCCAUAGGAGAAGAAAACAAAAGUGAUUCCGCAAGUAGUGGCGAGCGAACGCGGAACAGCCCAAACCGAUGAUGUUUAGGCAUUGUCGGGGUAGUAGGACCACGUUGUGGCAAGAGAUUAAGGAAGUAGAACGUUUUGGAACAAACGGCCGUAGACGGUGAAAGCCCAGUAUACGACUCUUUAACGAAGCCUAGUGGAAUCCUGAGUAGCGCGGAGCACGAGAAAUUCUGUGUGAAUCAGCGGGGCCCAUCCCGUAAGGCUAAAUACUCCCGAGAGACCGAUAGCGAACCAGUACUGUGAAGGAAAGGUGAAAAGCACCUCGAACAGAGGAGUGAAAUAGUCCCUGAAACCGUCUGCCUACAAGCGGUCGGAGCAACGUAAGUUGUGACGGCGUGCCUUUUGCAUAAUGAACCUACGAGUUACUUUCUCCGGCAAGGUUAAGGGCUUCAGGCCCGGAGCCGAAGCGAAAGCGAGUCUUAAUAGGGCGUGAUAGUCGGAGUGAGUAGACGCGAAACCAAGUGAUCUACCCUUGGUCAGGAUGAAGGUUGGGUAACACCAACUGGAGGUCCGAAUGGGUAUACGUUGAAAAGUGUUCCAAUGAACUGAGGGUAGGGGUGAAAGGCUAAUCAAACUUGGAGAUAGCUCGUACUCCCCGAAAUGCAUUUAGGUGCAGCCUUUAUUUAGUAUAGCAUGAGGUAGAGCGACUGAUUGGAUGCGAGGGCUUCACCGCCUAUCAAGUCCAGAUAAACUCCGAAUGCGUGCUAUAUAUUGAUAAGGAGUGAGGGCGCGGGUGCUAAGGUCCGCGUCCGAGAGGAGAAGAAUCCAGACCAUCAGCUAAGGUCCCCAAAUAACAGUUAAGUUGAACUAACGAAGUCGGACUGCAGAGACAGCUAGGAUGUUGGCUUGGAAGCAGCCAUUCAUUUAAAGAGUGCGUAACAGCUCACUAGUCGAGGAGUCCGGCGUGGAUAAUACUCGGGCAUAAACUGUUUACCGAAGCUAUGGAUGUAGAAAUACAUGGUAGGGGAGCAUUCCAACGGCGUUGAAGGUGAAGGAUGACCUUUGCUGGAGCUUUUGGAAACGCAAAUGUAGGUAUAAGUAACGAUAAAGGAGGUGAGAAACCUCCUCGCCGAAAGACUAAGGUUUCCUGAUCAACGUUAAUCGGAUCAGGGUAAGUCGGGACCUAAGGUUAAGCCGAACGGCGAUACCGAUGGAAGAAUGGUUUAAUAUUCCCAUACUACUUUAUGGAGCGAUGUGGAGACGGAGAAGUGAAAGUCCUGCCAUCUGACGGAAUAGGUGGUUGAAGAGUGUAGAUGUAGAUUCCUGUAGGCAAAUCCGCAGGGAGAGUCGACCUUGACAGUAUGCCGCGUGCUUGCACAAGGCAAAAUGGACGUAAUCAGGCUCCCAAGAAAAUCCGCUAAGCAUAUUCAUAAAGUACCCGUACCGUAAACGGACACACGUAGUUGGGUUGAAAAUACUGAGGCGCUCGAGUGAUUCACGGUUAAGGAACUAGGCAAAUUGACCCUGUAACUUCGGGAUAAAGGGUCCCUACUGAGAGGUAGGGCGCAGAGAAUAGGUCCAGGCAACUGUUUAACAAAAACACAUGGCUGUGCGAAAUAGAAAUAUGAAGUAUACAGCCUGACACCUGCCCGGUGCUGGAAGGUUAAGAGGAGAGCUCAUCGCAAGAGAAGGCUUGAAUUGAAGCCCCAGUAAACGGCGGCCGUAACUAUAACGGUCCUAAGGUAGCGAAAUUCCUUGUCGGGUAAGUUCCGACCUGCACGAAUGGUGUAAUGAUCUGGACACUGUCUCAACCGUGAGCUCGGUGAAAUUGUAGUAUCGGUGAAGAUGCCGAUUACCCGCGAUGGGACGAAAAGACCCCGUGAACCUUUACUAUAGCUUUACAUUGAAUUUGGGCAAUCGAUGUGUAGGAUAGGCCGGAG
rnacentral:rRNA from 1 species